CCCUUAGAUGUUCUGGGCCGCACGCGCGCUACACUGACGAAGUCAGCGAGCAUGUCCUACGCCGACAGGUGCGGGGAAUCUUGUCAAACUUCGUCGUGAUGGGGAUUGAUUAUUGAAAUUCUUGAUCAUCAACGAGGAAUUCCUAGUAAGCGCAAGUCAGCAGCUUGCGUUGAUUACGUCCCUGCCCUUUGUACACACCGCCCGUCGCCACUACCGAUUGAAUGGUUUAGUGAGAUCUUCGGAUUGGCGCCACUGCGGCUCAGCAAUGGGCUCGGUGGAUGCCGAAAAGUUGAUCAAACUUGAUCAUUUAGAGGAAGUAAAAGUCGUAACA
rnacentral:rRNA from 1 species